rnacentral:rRNA from 1 species
CGGGUGAGUAACACGUGGGUAACCUGCCCAUAAGACUGGGAUAACUCCGGGAAACCGGGGCUAAUACCGGAUAACAUUUUGAACUGCAUGGUUCGAAAUUGAAAGGCGGCUUCGGCUGUCACUUAUGGAUGGACCCGCGUCGCAUUAGCUAGUUGGUGAGGUAACGGCUCACCAAGGCAACGAUGCGUAGCCGACCUGAGAGGGUGAUCGGCCACACUGGGACUGAGACACGGCCCAGACUCCUACGGGAGGCAGCAGUAGGGAAUCUUCCGCAAUGGACGAAAGUCUGACGGAGCAACGCCGCGUGAGUGAUGAAGGCUUUCGGGUCGUAAAACUCUGUUGUUAGGGAAGAACAAGUGCUAGUUGAAUAAGCUGGCACCUUGACGGUACCUAACCAGAAAGCCACGGCUAACUACGUGCCAGCAGCCGCGGUAAUACGUAGGUGGCAAGCGUUAUCCGGAAUUAUUGGGCGUAAAGCGCGCGCAGGUGGUUUCUUAAGUCUGAUGUGAAAGCCCACGGCUCAACCGUGGAGGGUCAUUGGAAACUGGGAGACUUGAGUGCAGAAGAGGAAAGUGGAAUUCCAUGUGUAGCGGUGAAAUGCGUAGAGAUAUGGAGGAACACCAGUGGCGAAAGCGACUUUCUGGUCUGUAACUGACACUGAGGCGCGAAAGCGUGGGGAGCAAAC